GAUGAACGCUGGCGGCGUGCCUAAUACAUGCAAGUCGAGCGAACAGACGAGGAGCUUGCUCCUCUGACGUUAGCGGCGGACGGGUGAGUAACACGUGGAUCACCUACCUAUAAGACUGGGAUAACUUCGUGAAACCGGAGCUAAUACCGGAUAAUAUAUUGAACCGCAUGGUUCAAUAGUUAAAGACGGUUUUGCUGUCACUUAUAGAUGGAUCCGCGCCGCAUUAGCUAGUUGGUAGGGUAACGGCUUACCAAGGCGACGAUGCGUAGCCGACCUGAGAGGGUGAUCGGCCACACUGGAACUGAGACACGGUCCAGACUCCUACGGGAGGCAGCAGUAGGGAAUCUUCCGCAAUGGGCGAAAGCCUGACGGAGCAACGCCGCGUGAGUGAUGAAGGUCUUCGGAUCGUAAAACUCUGUUAUUAGGGAAGAACAAAUGUGUAAGUAACUAUGCACGUCUUGACGGUACCUAAUCAGAAAGCCACGGCUAACUACGUG
rnacentral:rRNA from 1 species